UAGGGAAUAUUGGGCAAUGGGCGAAAGCCUGACCCAGCAACGCCGCGUGUGUGAUGAAGGCCUUCGGGUCGUAAAGCACUUUUCUGGGAGAUGAGAAAGGACAGUAUCCCAGGAAUAAGUCUCGGCUAACUACGUGCCAGCAGCCGCGGUAAAACGUAGGAGGCGAGCGUUAUCCGGAUUCACUGGGCGUAAAGCGCGUGCAGGUGGCGCGGUAAGUUGGGCUGAAAUCUCCCGGCUCAACUGGGAGAGGUCGUCCAAUACUACCGUGCUUGAGAGCAGAAGAGGAAGAUGGAAUUCCCGGUGUAGUGGUGAAAUGCGUAGAUAUCGGGAGGAACACCAGUGGCGAAGGCGAUCUUCUGGUCUGUUUCUGACGCUCAGACGCGACAGCUAGGGUAGUAAACGGGAUUAGAGACCCCGGUAAUCCUAGCCGUAAACGAUGUGAACUUGGCGUUGGUGGGUUAAACUCCA
rnacentral:rRNA from 1 species